rnacentral:rRNA from 1 species
UACGUAGGGUCCGAGCGUUGUCCGGAAUUAUUGGGCGUAAAGGGCUCGUAGGCGGUUCGUCACGUCGGGUGUGAAAGCCCGGGGCUUAACCCCGGGUCUGCAUUCGAUACGGGCUGGCUAGAGUGUGGUAGGGGAGAUCGGAAUUCCUGGUGUAGCGGUGAAAUGCGCAGAUAUCAGGAGGAACACCGGUGGCGAAGGCGGUUCUCUGGGCCUUACCUGACACUGAGGAGCGAAAGCGUGGGGAGCGAACAGG